rnacentral:rRNA from 1 species
UAAGGGAUAUUGCGCCAAUGGGCGAAAGCCUGACGCAGCAACGCCGCGUGCGGGAGGACGGCCUUCGGGUUGUAAACCGCUUUUCCGGGGGAAGAGGGAGGACGGUACCCUGGGAAGAAGUCUCGGCUAACUACGUGCCAGCAGCCGCGGUAAAACGUAGGAGGCGAGCGUUAUCCGGAUUUACUGGGUGUAAAGCGCGUGCAGGCGGUUUAGCAAGUCGUGCGUGAAAGCGCUCUGGCUCAACCGGGCGAGGACCGUGCGGAACUGCUGAACUGGAGGCAGGUAGAGGCGUGUGGAAUUCCGGGUGUAGUGGUGAAAUGCGUAGAGAUCCGGAGGAACACCAGUGGCGAAGGCGACGCGCUGGGCCUGGCCUGACGCUAAGACGCGAAAGCAUGGGGAGCG